AUUGAACGCUGGCGGCAGGCCUAACACAUGCAAGUCGAGCGGGGUUUUCGGACCUAGCGGCGGACGGGUGAGUAAUGCGUAGGAAGCUACCCGAUAGAGGGGGAUACCAGUUGGAAACGACUGUUAAUACCGCAUAAUGUCUACGGACCAAAGUGUGGGACCUUCGGGCCACAUGCUAUCGGAUGCGCCUACGUGGGAUUAGCUAGUUGGUGGGGUAAUGGCUCACCAAGGCGACGAUCCCUAGCUGGAUUGAGAGGAUGAUCAGCCACACUGGAACUGAGACACUGUCCAGACUCCUACGGGAGGCAGCAGUGGGGAAUAUUGUACAAUGGGCGCAAGCCUGGUCCAGCCAUGCGGCGUGUGUGAAGAAGGCCUUCGGGUUGUAAAGCACUUUCAGUAGGGAGGAAGGGUGUUGUGUUAAUAGCACAGCAUUUUGACGUUACCUACAGAAGAAGCAGCGGCUAACUCUGUGCCAGCAGCCGCGGUAAGAC
rnacentral:rRNA from 1 species